UACGGGGGGGCAAGCGUUGUUCGGAAUCACUGGGCGUAAAGCGCACGUAGGCGGCUUUCUAAGUCAGGGGUGAAAUCCUGGAGCUCAACUCCAGAACUGCCUUUGAUACUGAAGAUCUUGAGUUCGGGAGAGGUGAGUGGAACUGCGAGUGUAGAGGUGAAAUUCGUAGAUAUUCGCAAGAACACCAGUGGCGAAGGCGGCUCACUGGCCCGAUACUGACGCUGAGGCACGAAAGCGUGGGGAGCAAACAGG
rnacentral:rRNA from 1 species